CCUACGGGUGGCUGCAGUGGGGAAUCUUGCGCAAUGCGCGAAAGCGUGACGCAGCAACGCCGCGUGAGGGAAGACGGCUUUCGGGUUGUAAACCUCUUUCAGUUGGGACGAAGGUUCGGCGGUGAAUAGCCGUUCGGACUGACGGUACCUUCAGAAGAAGCCCCGGCUAACUACGUGCCAGCAGCCGCGGUAAUACGUAGGGGGCAAGCGUUGUCCGGAAUCAUUGGGCGUAAAGAGCGCGUAGGCGGUCCGGUAAGUCCGUUGUGAAAGUCGGG
rnacentral:rRNA from 1 species